rnacentral:rRNA from 1 species
CACCGCCCGUCACACCAUGAAAGUCGGCUGUACCAGAAGUCGCUGAGCUAACUUCGGAGGCAAGCGCCCAAGGUAUGGUCGAUGAGUUGGGGUG